rnacentral:rRNA from 1 species
GAGAAUAAUUCGCAAUGGACGAAAGUCUGACGAUGCGACGCCGCGUGAAUGAUGAAGGCCUUCGGGUUGUAAAGUUCUGUCGUCCUAGAACAAGAGUAUGAUGGUAAUAUCAUCGUACGAUGAGAGUAUAGGGAAAGGAAGCACCGGCUAAUUCCGUGCCAGCAGCUGCGGUAAUACGGAAGGUGCAAGCGUUAGUCGGAAUAAUUGGGCGUAAAGGGUAUGUAGGCGGCCCUUCAAGUCGCGUGUCAAAGUCCAGUGCUCAACGCUGGGUGUGCACGCGAGACUGACGGGCUUGAGGGCUGGAGAGGUGAGCGGAAUUCCCGGUGUAGUGGUAAAAUACGUAGAGAUCGGGAGGAACACCAGCGGCGCAGGCGGCUCACUAGACAGUUUCUGACGCUAAGAUACGAAAGCGUGGGGAGCAAACA